UCUCUCACUCGUUUUGAUUCUCUAUUUCUCUCUGAUUCUUUGCUGUUAUUAUUAUUAUUUUGGUUUGAUUAUUUGUUUGGUUUUUGAAUAGCGGCUAGGGAUUUAGAGGAAAUUCAAGAGCUGUUGAGAUUGGUCGAUGGCACUGUAAACCCUUCACUUUCUCAGAGAUUGUAAAGCCAGUGUCUCUGCAAACAGCAAGUUCUAAAUACCCAUCAACGAUUCCAGUGUCUCUGCUAAAAAGGUUUAACGAAUUUGGAAAGUUUGAACUUGGAUUCCUGUGGGAUAGGUGAUGAAGGGCUUGCUAAUCUAACAGGUUUAUUAUUAUGUUUCACUAAUUCAUUUUAUAUGACAGUUAUGAUUGUUAUGUGAGAUGGUGUGUGAUUUAAUAUCUUCUCUCUUUUGUUUCAUAUUAUCUUCUGGAAAAAGUAGGUUAGUGAGAAAUAAAGCAAACAUAUAAGUAAAUAUAAAGCUUGUUGAGCGUGCUUUGAUAUCUGGACAUUUCUGCAUAAUCACUUUCUUUGGAUAUCAUU